CCUACGGUAGGCAGCAUUGGGGGAUAUUGCACAAUGGGGGGAACCCUGAUGCAGCGACGCCGCGUGGGUGAAGGAGUGCUUCGGCAUGUAAAGCCCUAUCGGCAGGGAAGAAGCAAGACGGUACCUGACUAAGAAGCCCCGGCUAACUACGUGCCAGCAGCCGCGGUAAUACGUAGGGGGCGAGCGUUAUCCGGAUUCACUGGGUGUAAAGGGAGCGUAGACGGCCAUGCAAGCCAGGGGUGAAAGCCCGGGGCCCAACCCCGGGACUGCCCUUGGAACUGCAUGGCUAGAGUGCAGAAGAGGUAAGCGGAAUUCCUAGUGUAGCGGUGAAAUGCGUAGAUAUUAGGAGGAACACCAGUGGCGAAGGCGGCUUACUGGACUGUAACUGACGUUGAGGCUCGAAAGCGUGGGGAGCAAACAGGAUUAGAUACCCUUGUAGUC
rnacentral:rRNA from 1 species